AAAAAGAUAAGCUAACAAAGCUUUUGGGCUCAUACCCCGACUAUGGAAACAUUCUAUUCCUCUUUUU
rnacentral:tRNA from 1 species